CUACGGUGGAGUUUCAAGGAUUACCUCCCCCUUUCGGGUUCGGAACCCAUUGUCUCCACCAUUGCAGCCCGCGUGCGGCCCGGGGGAUUCGGGGCAUGCUGACCUGCCGUUGCCCCCUCCCUCCUCCACCUUAGCGGUGGCGGUCCCCCUAGUGUGCCCGCUUGCGCGGUGGCAACUAGGGGUGAGGGUCUCGCUCGUUCCUGGACUUAACCAGACACCUCACGGCACGAGCUGGCGACGGCCAUGCGCCACCUCUCAGCGCGUCGGGCAAAGUCAUCAGCUUGGCCCUCAUCCUGCUGUCGCCCCCGGUAAAGUUCCCGGCGCUGACUCCAAUUGAGCCGCAGGCUUCACCCCUUGUGGUGCUCCCCCGCCAAUUCCUUUAAGUUUCAGUCUUGCGACCGUACUCCCCAAGCGGCGGAUUUAACGGCUUCCCUGAGGCACCGAUACGGCCCGAAGCCGUACCGGCACCCAAUCCGCAUCGUUUACAGCUGGGACUACCCGGGUAUCUAAUCCGGUUCGCUCCCCCAGCUUUCGCCCCUCACCGUCGGACGCGUCCUAGCCAGGCGCCUUCGCCACUGGUCGUCCUCCCGGGAUUAUAGGAUUUCGCCCCUACCCCCGGAGUACCCCUGGCCUCUUCCGCUCCCUAGCCCGGCAGUAUCCCAUGCGGCCCAACGGUUGAGCCGUUGGAUUUAGCACAGGACUUACCGGACCGGCUACGAGCGCUUUAGGCUCAAUAAUCGUCCCGACCACUCGCGGAGCUGGUAUUACCGCGGCGGCUGACACCAGUCUUGCCCCCCGCUUAUUCCCCCAGGUUUUUACUCUGGGGAAAAGCCAGCCUUAGCGGCUGGCACUCGGGAUAGCCCAGUCACGGUUUCCCGCAUUGCUAAGGUUUCUCGCCUGGUGCGCCCCGUAGGGCCUGGGCCCUUGUCUCAGGAUCCAUCUCCGGGCUCCUCCUCUCAGAGCCCGCACCGGUCAUAGGCUUGGUGGGCCUUUACCCCGCCAACUACCUGAUCGGGCGCAACCCCAUCCUAAGGCGACUAUUUCAGCAUGCUGAAAUGAUCUUUUUAACCUUGGCGCCUUCCAGCCUCCGAGGUUUAUGGGAUAUUAGCCCCAGUUUCCCGGGAUUAUCCCCCUCCUUAGGGUAGGUUAGCUGCGUACUACUGAGCCGUGCGCCGCGCUCUCCACAGCUAGAGAACGCUCGACUUGCAUGGCUUAGCCCCACCCCAAUACCGGUCGGG
rnacentral:rRNA from 1 species